AUGAACGCUAGCUACAGGCUUAACACAUGCAAGUCGAGGGGCAGCAUGAACUUAGCUUGCUAAGUUUGAUGGCGACCGGCGCACGGGUGAGUAACACGUAUCCAACCUGCCGAUGACUCGGGGAUAGCCUUUCGAAAGAAAGAUUAAUACCCGAUGGCAUAGUUCUUCCGCAUGGUAGAACUAUUAAAGAAUUUCGGUCAUCGAUGGGGAUGCGUUCCAUUAGGUUGUUGGCGGGGUAACGGCCCACCAAGCCUUCGAUGGAUAGGGGUUCUGAGAGGAAGGUCCCCCACAUUGGAACUGAGACACGGUCCAAACUCCUACGGGAGGCAGCAGUGAGGAAUAUUGGUCAAUGGACGAGAGUCUGAACCAGCCAAGUAGCGUGAAGGAUGACUGCCCUAUGGGUUGUAAACUUCUUUUAUACGGGAAUAAAGUGAGGCACGUGUGCCUUUUUGUAUGUACCGUAUGAAUAAGGAUCGGCUAACUCCGUGCCAGCAGCCGCGGUAAUACGGAGGAUCCGAGCGUUAUCCGGAUUUAUUGGGUUUAAAGGGAGCGUAGGCGGACGCUUAAGUCAGUUGUGAAAGUUUGCGGCUCAACCGUAAAAUUGCAGUUGAUACUGGGUGUCUUGAGUACAGUAGAGGCAGGCGGAAUUCGUGGUGUAGCGGUGAAAUGCUUAGAUAUCACGAAGAACUCCGAUUGCGAAGGCAGCUUGCUGGACUGUAACUGACGCUGAUGCUCGAAAGUGUGGGUAUCAAACAGGAUUAGAUACCCUGGUAGUCCACACAGUAAACGAUGAAUACUCGCUGUUUGCGAUAUACAGUAAGCGGCCAAGCGAAAGCGUUAAGUAUUCCACCUGGGGAGUACGCCGGCAACGGUGAAACUCAAAGGAAUUGACGGGGGCCCGCACAAGCGGAGGAACAUGUGGUUUAAUUCGAUGAUACGCGAGGAACCUUACCCGGGCUUGAAUUGCAACUGAAUGAUGUGGAGACAUGUCAGCCGCAAGGCAGUUGUGAAGGUGCUGCAUGGUUGUCGUCAGCUCGUGCCGUGAGGUGUUGGGUUAAGUCCCGCAACGAGCGCAACCCUUAUUGUUAGUUGCCAUCAUUAAGUUGGGCACUCUAGCGAGACUGCCGGUAAUAAACCGGAGGAAGGUGGGGAUGACGUCAAAUCAUCAUGCCCCUUAUGACCUGGGCUACACACGUGCUACAAUGGCCACGACAGAGAGAAGCGAAAUCGUAAGGUAGAGCGGAACUCAAAAAAGUGGUCCCAGUUCGGAUUGUGGGCUGCAACCCGCCCACAUGAAGUCGGAGUUGCUAGUAAUCGCGGAUCAGCAUGCCGCGGUGAAUACGUUCCCGGGCCUUGUACACACCGCCCGUCAAGCCAUGAAAGCCGGGGGUACCUGAAGUGCGUAACCGCGAGGAGCGCCCUAGGGUAAAACUGGUGAUUGGGGCU
rnacentral:rRNA from 1 species